rnacentral:rRNA from 1 species
AUUGAACGCUGGCGGAAUGCUUUACACAUGCAAGUCGAACGGCAGCACGGACUUCGGUCUGGUGGCGAGUGGCGAACGGGUGAGUAAUGUAUCGGAACGUGCCCAGUCGUGGGGGAUAACGUAGUGAAAAUUACGCUAAUACCGCAUACGAUCUAUGGAUGAAAGCGGGGGAUCGCAAGACCUCGCGCCAUUGGAGCGGCCGAUAUCAGAUUAGGUAGUUGGUGGGGUAAAGGCCCACCAAGCCGAUGAUCUGUAGCUGGUCUGAGAGGACGACCAGCCACACUGGAACUGAGACACGGUCCAGACUCCUACGGGAGGCAGCAGUGGGGAAUUUUGGACAAUGGGCGAAAGCCUGAUCCAGCCAUUCCGCGUGCAGGAUGAAGGCCCUCGGGUUGUAAACUGCUUUUGUACAGAACGAAAAGGUUUCUACUAAUACUAGGAGCUCAUGACGGUACUGUAAGAAUAAGCACCGGCUAACUACGUGCCAGCAGCCGCCGUAA